ACGUUAACGCUGGGGAAAGGUUGGAGCCUUGGAAGCUGAUCUGUUUGAGCAGAGUGUACAGGUGAGGAGCUGAGAGAGCUGAGGAGCAGGUACAGGUGAGGAGCUGAGGAGCAGGUACAGGUGAGGAGCAGGUACAGGUGAGGAGCAGGUACAGGUGAGGAGCUGAGAGAGGUGAGGAGCAGGUACAGGUGAGGUGCAGGUACAGGUGAGGUGCAGGUACAGGUGAGGAGCAGGUACAGGUGAGGAGCAGGUACAGGUGAGGAGCUGAGAAAGGUGAGGUGCAGGUACAGGUGAGGAGCUGAGAGAGCCGGACAGACUAAAGGAGUAAAGCGCUGCUGCAUCGCACUCAGUGGGAA
ensembl:lncRNA